AUGCAUUGCAGCUGCUUUGAUGCAGUUUCGUCUAAUGGCGGUGCAAAUAACUAUUGCAUUGACAUCAAGGGCGAAUAUUGCCAUUUGGCAUAUUGUUGGAAACAAAUUUUGUUGCUGCAGCGAGGCAAAACAUGGGCAAAGAGAUGUGUUCUGUACUGGGUACUACUAUAGUACGACGGACGCUUUGCCAUGAUGAAUCAUUUGGAGCGGAAUGGUAUUGAUAGACUUACUAUGGGUCAAUGUGGCAAUUUAAAUAGAAUUAUCGAUUUUUUUGUUAUCCAUUCAAUUUGUUUUCGUUACCUAAUAAAUAAAAUUGUAAUAUAAUUUUUAA